rnacentral:lncRNA from 1 species
AAUAAUGGUGCUUUGAGUUGAACUUUGCUUGCAAUAGACACGCAUAAAGCAAUAAAAGAAAGCUUACCAAAAGGACAAUCAGUAAGCUCUUAGUCUUACUCUUGACUAAUAUGCUAAUGUACGUGAAAAUAUUCUGCUUAAAUUUGACAGGUGCUCCUGGCAAGCAAUGCAAGCAAACUCUCCACAUUGGCUGCCGGGGAGGAUAAGCUAACCUUUGGAGAUGUAAACUCGGAGCAAAAGAGUUUGAUGGCUAACUGGGGCAUGGGAAAUUCAUGGUGGCAUGGAAAAAAGUUAGUGCAAGAAAGAUACCCUGACGAGGGGAGAGUGAGGUGGAUGGAUGGAUGGCUAUAGCAAGGCUCAAUAGCAAAUUGCUGAAAAGCAUGAUACUGGAUUAUCAGAUAAUUUACAAGGAGUCCUUUUCUAACUUUCCUUGCCCCAAUCCCCUUUCAGCCUUUUUUGGGAAGCAGUUAUUUGAUUUAAUCAACAGAGAAGUUGAUCGCAGAGCAUCACAGUGAAGAAGGAUUCAUGUUGCAGUAAACUCAAUUACGAAGGUCAAGGACAUUGCCACCUACCAUUAUCUUUCACACGUAGAAUUUUGAUUUUAUCUUAUUGAGCGUGAGAAAUACUAGAGAGAAAGAGAGGGUGAGAGUUUGCAAUUUUAUGUAAGC